AUUAAUUUCAACUCACUUUGUUUUGAGUUGAUUAUUGGUUCACCAAUCUACUAGGCUUUGAAUUUCAUGGUCAUGUUUUGUUUUUGAGUGCAUACAAGCAUGAUUCCGCCUUUAAUUGUUAAUUGCAUGCUAUAUGAUGUUGCUCAAAUGAACAUGUUUUCUCAAAAUAAUUCCUUCACCCCCGUGUCUCUCUCUCUCCUCCCUCACGGCUUCCUUUCUCUCUCCCUCUUGAAUUGUACGGACAAGCUAGGAACCUCCCAUUUCUUCACGGAUCGAAGGUUCUAAGGUAAGGUUUGAACUCCUAGUAAGCUUGUGAGUUCGUAUAUGUGAUUUGUGAAAGUUAAAAACCUCAGAAUCGUUGUGAAACCCUAACCCCGAAAAUGUGCAUUGUUCAUGCACACGUAAAAUCUUGCAUUUCAGGGAAUUUCAAGCUCAUAGUGAGCUUAAAGAGAUCCUCACGAGCUUCGGGGUACUUCGUUGGUAGAAUUUGGACGUCGGAGGACUGAGAACGGAGUUUUUCAAAUUUGGCCAGAUUAUCGAGCUUUCUCAAGUAAAAUCUAGUGGAUUUUAGACCUUGAAACUAGUCUAUCGUGAUUCUACAUGUUGAGGGCUUCAAAUUGAUAUAAAAUACGAAGAAAAUGGUUGAGAAAUGAGGGAGAACAAAGGGAUUGAAAAAUCCCCAGUUUUCCGGCCACCGGAAAACACAGUCCGGCGAACCAAGGAAGAAGACGCGCGUGGGGGACGUGUGUACCCGUGCCUGCCCUGGCGCAUGGGGGCGCGUGCCACGUCAAAAAAAUUUUCUAAAAAUUUCUCGACGUCCGUGACGUCGAGUAAGUCGAUGUGGUAUAUUCAUAUACCCAAAUUGAGCACCGUAUGAGAAGUUAUUUUGAAUUGUCGGUUAUGUGCAUUAAUUAACGUUUUUAUAGUUGUUUCACAUAUAGGUGACACUUAUCCCAAGGACGAGCGCAUCCAGGGACGUCGCGGGGGCUACGACCCAUCGACUUACCAGUGAGUGGGCAGUUUUUGUUUUCGUAUAUACCUAUAUACUAUCAAUUUUCCCAGAAAUUGAAUUUAUAUGAAAGUAUGUUUUCAAUUGCCAUGCAUGCAUAUUAUGAACAUUACAAAUUGAUAUUAAUGCAUAUAUAUGCGUGAAUUGGUGUUGUGGACGCACUGGUGAGUAUCAGGUGAGUUUUAUGUUAAUCAUGUGAAUCAUCGAUAAUGUGAAUUGUGCUGAGAACUCAUAAUCUGCACCCUUGGUGUUAGUGCUUAUAUUAUUCACCGCACCGCACGCUCACCUUG
rnacentral:lncRNA from 1 species